rnacentral:lncRNA from 1 species
AGGCGGUGGGGGGAAGGAGGGGGGUUGCCGUGGUCCUCCAAGGGGGGGUUCUGUGAUUUCUGGGUCCUCCAAGGAGGGGGUCCGACUGUACCCAAGUCCUCCAAGGACCCCCCAAAGUCCUCCAAGGGGGGGUUCUGUGAUCUCUGGGUCCUCCAAGGAAGGGGUCCGACUGUACCCCAGUCCUCCAAGGGCCCCCCCAAGUCCUCCAAGGGGGGGAUCUCCCCGUUCCCGUGCCCCCCAACUUCUUUUUUUGUCUCUUUCUCUCUCCCACAGGGGCCGCGCCAGAGCCACCUCCUGGUACUCCCCCUAUUGAAAGCCGUCAGCGCCCCACAAGUGUGGGG